rnacentral:rRNA from 1 species
GCUGAAGCCUGGUGCUUGCACCGGGUGGAUGAGUGGCGAACGGGUGAGUAACACGUGAGUAACCUGCCCCUGACUUCGGGAUAAGCCCGGGAAACUGGGUCUAAUACCGGAUACGACCGUCGGACGCAUGUCUGGUGGUGGAAAGUUUUUUCGGUUGGGGAUGGGCUCGCGGCCUAUCAGUUUGUUGGUGAGGUAAUGGCUCACCAAGACGACGACGGGUAGCCGGCCUGAGAGGGCGACCGGCCACACUGGGACUGAGACACGGCCCAGACUCCUACGGGAGGCAGCAGUGGGGAAUAUUGCACAAUGGGGGAAACCCUGAUGCAGCGACGCAGCGUGCGGGAUGACGGCCUUCGGGUUGUAAACCGCUUUCAGCAGGGAAGAAGCGCAAGUGACGGUACCUGCAGAAGAAGUACCGGCUAACUACGUGCCAGCAGCCGCGGUAAUACGUAGGGUACGAGCGUUGUCCGGAAUUAUUGGGCGUAAAGAGCUCGUAGGUGGUUGGUCACGUCUGCUGUGGAAACGCAACGCUUAACGUUGCGCGUGCAGUGGGUACGGGCUGACUAGAGUGCAGUAGGGGAGUCUGGAAUUCCUGGUGUAGCGGUGAAAUGCGCAGAUAUCAGGAGGAACACCGGUGGCGAAGGCGGGACUCUGGGCUGUAACUGACACUGAGGAGCGAAAGCAUGGGGAGCGAACAGGAUUAGAUACCCUGGUAGUCCAUGCCGUAAACGUUGGGCACUAGGUGUGGGGGGGCAUUCCACGUUCUCCGCGCCGUAGCUAACGCAUUAAGUGCCCCGCCUGGGGAGUACGGUCGCAAGGCUAAAACUCAAAGGAAUUGACGGGGGCCCGCACAAGCGGCGGAGCAUGCGGAUUAAUUCGAUGCAACGCGAAGAACCUUACCAAGGCUUGACAUACACCAGACCGUCCUGGAAACAGGUCCUCUUCUUUGAAGCUGGUGUACAGGUGGUGCAUGGUUGUCGUCAGCUCGUGUCGUGAGAUGUUUGGGUUAAGUCCCGCAACGAGCGCAACCCUCGUUCUAUGUUGCCAGCACGUGGAUGGUGGGAACUCAUAGGAGACUGCCGGGGUC